rnacentral:lncRNA from 1 species
ACUCAGCGUGCCCAAGUCCCGUGACUUAGUGCCAGGACGGUGCUGUGACCCGUUAUCCCCUGUCGGGUUUUACCUCCCCCCGGGAGAGCUCAGCCCUGGAUCCCGGCGGGCGGCGGAGCCUCUCUGGAGCCCGGACGGGACAGCCCACCAGGGUCUGCUUCUGUGAGGGGCCGAGGCGUCAUUCCGCGAAGCCUUCUCCUUGCUGUUGCCAUGUGAAGAAGGAUGUGUUUGCUUCCCCUUCUGCCAUGAUUGUAAGUUUUCUGAAGCCUCUCCAGCCAUGCCAAACUGAAGCUGCUGGAAGGUACACAUCUUGGGAGUUUGCCCUUUGAAGCUCACCUGUGGACCUUUUUUCCUUUCGAAAAGAAGCAUAAGCUGCAAUAAAAAUUUGGUUUCAAGAUAACAAAGUCAGUCCCCAAAAAUCAGUAUUGAGAGUCACUGACAUUAAAUGAUGAAGAUACGAGGAUGGUGUGGGGACCUUUACUCUUCGAAGAUGAGCUAUACAUGCCCCUGAAAAGGCUGUCUGAAGACAGGGGAAGGCUGGAGAUGGCAACUUUGGCCUCUGCCAAGUACUCGUGCUAUUUUCUGUAUGUGA